AUACUCUGGUUUUUCUCCAGAUUAUGUAAAUCUUUCACUUUUCCUGAAGAUUUCCAUGGAGAGGAACAAUUCUGAAUCAAUUUUUUGAGGCCUUGCUUCUGUAAGGAU
rnacentral:snRNA from 1 species